rnacentral:lncRNA from 1 species
UAGGAAGUGCAGUUGAAUUCUGUUUUCAAGAAUUUAUCCAUGAAUGUUGAUUUAAGAUUUACAUUGUCUUUAUCCUGCAUCAGACAUAUUAGGAAACGCCAGACACGAGGAGAGAAAUUGCUGAACAUAGCCUGAUCUAGCUGUGAAUGUCCCUGUUAAUUGCAAGCGAGUUGGACUAGAUGACCUUUAAAGGUCCCUUCCAACUCUAAGGAUUCUAUGAUUCCUUAACAAAUAACAGAGUGAGCAGCUGACAAACUUUGCAGAAUAACACCAUGAGAAAUGGCUGGAUUUCAGAUUGUUACGAGGAGCUACGUGAGAGGAGGCCAGGGUCCACAGUUGGCUGCGUCUCAUGUGAGGGAGUUCCAGUUUGGAGGGAAGCACAGUCCCGCACAAGUAACUCAGUCCCUAAAAGCAGUGGUGGAAGAGGUCAAGAAUAAUAGUGAAUAUGUUGAUGGCACCUGGCAGAGCAGGUUCUCAGCACAUCUCCACACAGUUCCUGGAGACCUCCAGCUGUCCUGCAGGGACAGAUUGUAGUCUUCAGUCAAAUGCUUCAAACCUGUAGAUGCAAAGUUGCUUAUGAUACUAAAGAUGUGUCUGGCCAUUUUCAGCUUUAACAGGGCUCAGAAAGUUUCUUCUGCAGCUACUGCUCUGAUAGCUCCAGCUUCUUAUCUUGUUCUUUAAUUGUUUUGCCUCUCUCUGUGGUGUCACUCCAGGUGCUGAGUGUGCCCUCAUCCAUGCAGCAUCUGUUCCUGUAUUGCAGAAAACAUUCAGUUUGCGGGAUUUGUGUGUGUACCACUGCCUCUUUGCAGGAGGAGACUUUGCAACAUAAUGAAAUCUGUAUUCUUUUUUAUUAUUAUUUCUUUUGGUGGCACUGGAGAGGAGAUUGUCUUCCUUGUAGCUCUGGGCAGCCUAGUCUGGUGGUUGGUGACUCUUCCCAUGACAGGGGGGUUGAAACUACAUGAUCAUUCUGGUCCUUUUCAACUCAGGCCAUUCUGUGAUUCUAUGCCAUAACUGACACACAUAAUUUGUUCCAUAAUCAUCACACAACUAUUUACAUAAACUUUCUUUUCAAGUCCUUGUGGUCAGAAAUUGAUGAGAACCUAUACACUAACUGGAAGAACUCUUUUCGAAAAUUAUCAGAUGUGAACUCUUUUCGAAAAUUAUCAGAUGUGAACUCUUUUCGAAAACUUUCUUUUCUUGAAGAAUAAAGAUUACAAGUGUUAAAGUCA